rnacentral:lncRNA from 1 species
UACACUCUUGAUCUCUCUCUUAAACAACUCUUAUAUUCCUUUUUUUUUUUUUUUUUUUUUUUUUUUUUUUUUUUAUUUUUUUUUUUUUUUUUUUUUUUUUUUUUUUUUUUUUUUUUUUUUUUUUUUGUUUUGAAGAAGUGUUUUCCAGAAUGUGUGGACUUCAUAGACAUCCACCUCUUAUUUUCAGAGGCAGUUUCAUACAAUCAAAAGUAUGGAAUGAAACUAUUCUGCUGCCCAGUGUCAAGGUCAGCUGUCCUCAGUCAUUGUGUGAAGCAGCCACGGAAAGACAGAAGAUGAAAGCUCCUAUUCCCAACUUGAUUCUCUUGUAUGCUACUCUGACCCAGAGCUUGAAGGUUGUAACCAAAAGGGGAUCAGGUAAGUAAAUCUUUAACUCUGUGGUUACAUUGUGGCUUGGAAAGGAGUGCGUAAAGUUUACAAGUAUACACCAGGAUGUUGUUAUGGUGGUUUGGAAUACAGUUAAGUGCAUUUCAAAUUCUGCAGCAAGAAGAGUUGGCAGCUUCUACGUGUUUUUAGAUUGUUGUCUUCUGUGGACUUAAUGAAAAAAAAAAUCAGAUGUGAAAUGAAUAUAACUUUUCACCUGCUGAAGGAAAGUUAUUCCUAGAACUUUUUAACUUAAUUAAAAGACUACGUUGCAGUCAGUGUUGUUUGGUUACUGGAUUUAUCUGUUUCACUAUAUACUUUGAGAAAUUAAGAUUAUAGAGUUUGGGUUUAAGCAACAACAAAUAGAGCAAACACAUUAAAUUUAAUAGCCAUGAAAAGUGAACAGAAAAAUGUGUUUUUGAAAGGGAUAUAAUACAUGGUUGAACAGUUUAAUUCAGCAAAGAAAAAUAGCUGGUAUUCAGACAGUUGGGUAGUUUUGGAUUAAUUUUUUAUGUGUCACCCUGAAAUUCUGAUUUUACUUUCUUUGGCUUUUCUCUGGGUAAUGAAAAAAAUAGGAUUCUACUUCUGCAACCUAUCUUGCUGUACUGCACUAAAGAAGACUAAGUCCUUAACAAAAGCCUUAAUUCCUUGUUGGUGGGAUAAUGAAAGUCUUAAUCCCAUGUUGACUGAAUUAGUUAAUUGGGUUUGUUGUUAGUUGUAAGUUUCCUUUUGGCAUCGGAGUGUUUUAGGUAGCUUUUGUUGUGCUGUUCCAGAAGUCUGUCUCUGAUUUAUUUUUGUCUUCUGGUUGGUAGUAGUUGUAAAUGGGUGCUUGGGGAGAACACAGCUCUUUAUACAUUUUUGGCAACAUCUUAAAUUAUACCUUGCAUUUUCAAUGGAUUAUAUUUGUAACAACAGAAUGAAACAGAUUAUGUCGCCAAUAUUUUAGUAGUUGGAAAUGUUGGUGUAGAGAAGGCAAACGCAGAGUACUACUACAAAGUAAGGUAUUCCUUAACAAAAACUUGAGAAUAAAGUAUAUUUGGGGUUAUUUAAACUCA